GUUUCAGGUGACGAUAGGCAGCUGCUCCAGUCUUUUGGUCUCACGCUGCGUUUCAGGGUUGGCUGUCGUAUCUGUGCAUACAUACGUUCCCGUGCAAAACGUGUAUAAACAGGCGUGUGUGUGUACGGUAGAUACAUAUUUUUUUGAUAUGAUUUGAUUUAUGUAUAAUAGCGCAUAUAAAGCUUUUCAAGGUGGCUGCAAUGUAAAAAGUAAUGACUUUAUUACCUCUGAAAGGUUCUGUGGUUCACAUUUAACAGUCCUCUGAAUUACAAUUCAUUACAGUUGUGCGCUCUCUAAAGCCAACAUACAUCAGAACACCUAUCUGUGGUUAUUUCCAGUAAAUAACAGGCAACAUUUUAUUGAUUUUCUUUAAAAAAUCAUAGCAAAUUAAGCACUUAGUUACAAGUAAAUCUGUUUUAUUAUUGCACUAUAUUUGAGAUUCCAGAGGUGACCUCCUAGACCGCAUCUUAAAACAUACAUUCAAAAGCUAAUUUCACAGAUGCUUUCGUGAAUGGCAGCGAGAAUGUUUCUACCAUUAGUAUGCCCUUAAUUCCAGCAUCAUAAAAAGCCUCGAAUUAAAUGGAAACUCGCUCCCUUAAAACAGUAUUUCAUCCUGUCUGGAUAAUUAUUAAUAUUGGCAUUUGAUCACAAUAGUGCCGUGCUCCCCCUGCGCCCCCCCUCAGCACUUUGCAUUGUCAUGUGAUUGGAGGGAGAUAACAAACCUCAAGAAAGAAAAGGAGUCAGAAGACAUUUUUAACAUGCUCUAACCACAGAUUAAUAAUCGAGUCCCACAGGAUGCUCCGCAAUCUUGCUGCAACAGUUUGAGCUGCUGUCAUCUUAGCCACUCUUUCGCCAGAGACUCCCGGCCCCAGAGCAACGGCAGCGUGAGGAAAUGUGGCCCCACAUCUCAGCUGCAUCUGGGCAAACUCUGAGGUUUGAUUGCUGGAAAAGGUUGACUGCUAGAAAAAGAAAACCAGUGCACUGCACAGCAGUUGGGAAUCGAAGCCCUUCUUUACCAGAACCCCUGCCAUAUACGUACUGUCACUCACCUUCCAGACACUCAGUACAACCAUUCAAUCUAUUGAAUCAAGAGACUGUUUGAUCUUAUCUGCAUCUGUGAGCUGACUGUCAACCUGCUUAGGCUGCAUAUUAAAUCAUCUAUAGUAGCUGUAUCAAGCUGGGAUGAUCUGUUAAUUCUAAAUUUAUUAACCCUUGGAGUGCAGUCGUCAUGUUUAAUCUAGUGUAGCCAGCAUUUACAUUUAUUUUACAAGACUAAAUCCUCCUUUAAGAUACGGCUGUGCUGUAGGUUAAAGAACUGGUACUGCGUAGGAGAUGCUAAUUGGCAAGAACUCACUUUGAUCUUGGGAAGCCAGCUGACAGCAGCGCCCUUCUAAACAUGUACGCGUACACUCGCAUCCCACUCGAGCGUCCGGCACGUGUGGUGUGUGUGCAUGCAUGUACGCACCUAAUAACGUUUCCUCAGGGAAAUAGUUUUGCCUGAGACAAUUGCAAAGAAAAAGAAAGGCCUCAGAAAUAUCUUAGCUCUAUGCGUCCACGAAGGAAGACUUAAAAUCACAGAUCAAAAAUCAAAGUCAUGGCACAACGCCAUGCUACACGCAUCAAGUUAUUGUAGGCAGAGUCCUGCAACGAGCAAACAACAAACCUCUCCUUCAAGUCAGUUCCCAGUUCUCGGUCGGUAACUGCCAUCCAAAUCAAAAUUAACAGAUGUCCACGCAGCGAUGAGGACUACGGCCACGACAGGACUCACGAGAAGUCAAGAGCUGAUAUAUACGUACACACAAAUAUACCCCCCCCACAGACAUAUACGCACACAUAAAUAAUUCUAUAUAAACAUAUACAUACACGUAAAUAUGUUAAUCCGUUCAUUAUACACACACGUCUCUCCCUGCCCCUCUCUCCUGUUAACUAUUAUACUCGCACGUUGCCGAUGGUAUCAACACAUUCACGGCUUUUAUUUCAGUCACAAACUGCUAGGCAUGCUUCCUUUUUUGGUAAUCACGUGCCUGGUAUCUCUCUAAUGUAGCCUAAUAACAAUUUUAGCAUUCAGAUGAAGCGAUUUCAUUCUGUGACUGCCUUUUCUA
rnacentral:lncRNA from 1 species